rnacentral:rRNA from 1 species
UACGUAGGGGGCAAGCGUUGUCCGGAAUCAUUGGGCGUAAAGAGCGUGUAGGCGGCUCGAUAAGUCUGCUGUGAAAGUCCAGGGCUCAACCCUGGAAGGCCGGUGGAAACUGUCGGGCUAGAGUCCGGAAGAGGCGAGUGGAAUUCCCGGUGUAGCGGUGAAAUGCGCAGAUAUCGGGAGGAACACCGGUGGCGAAGGCGGAUCUCUGGGCCUUACCUGACGCUCAGGCGCGAAAGCUAGGGGAGCGAACAGG